rnacentral:rRNA from 1 species
UACGUAGGCAGCAAGCGUUGUUCGGAAUUACUGGGCGUAAAGAGUGUGUAGGCGGUGCUCUAAGUUUGGUGUGAAAUCUCCCGGCUCAACUGGGAGGGUGCGCCGAAAACUGGAAUGCUUGAACAUGGGAGAGGAAAGCGGAAUUCCUGGUGUAGCGGUGAAAUGCGUAGAUAUCAGGAGGAACACCUGCGGUGUAGACGGCUUUCUGGACCAUUGUUGACGCUGAUGCACGAAAGCUAGGGGAGCAAACAGG